rnacentral:snoRNA from 12 species
UUUUCCCCUUUCACUUUGCCAAUUGGACUUGUCUUUAUUGGUCAUUCAAGUGAGGCAAAGGAAAUACCCUUUUAAAACUCAGGCAAACUGGGUGUUUGUCUUGUAUCCUGUCAGAGGAAACAAAA